ensembl:lncRNA
ACCUGGGAAGCUCGCCCCGCCCCCGGUUGCCAUGAGGAUGUACCAGUAAGGUACUGUGCUGUAGACUAGAGCUGCCUGUGUUCAAAUAACACUCCAUCAACGGCAAGCUGUGAGCCUUCAGGCAAGUCGCUUGAUUUCUCCAUGCCUCAGUUUCCUCCUCUGUAAAGUGGAGGUGAAUAUAAGUGCACUCACUGCAUGGAGUUGUGAUGAUUAAGGGAUAUAAUCAACGGAAAGAACACAUAACAGCUGCUGAUACAAGCAAGCUCUGUGUCUCCGUGAGAAACCAUCAGCCUUGGGUCUGGCAUCUAAUAGUAAGGAGUCCUUGCUGCAUGUCAGGCACCACUUUAAUCCUCAAAGCAAUCCUAUGAGCAGGGGGCGCCCGCUGCCUCCCUCACGGCUCCCAGACCAAAACCGGGCCCUUGGGCUGGUGGCUUGUGCAGCAGCCGGUCCAGGCCGACCUUGGGGAUCACGAGAAAGGGCAGCAGCAACGACAGCGUUAGCCUGUGCAAAGCCAGGGACAUGCCAAGAGUGGCUUGCCUCCCCUAGGUCCCCAAACCGGACUGCCAAGCGGCAACGCCCAGAGCUUCUGAAAGAUGCUUUAGCCCGUGAAGCAGCUCUCCUCCGUCAGAACCUUCUCCGUUAAGAGCCAGGGGUCUGAAACUUUUAAAACUUCAAAGAAAUACUGUGUGAGAGUGAAAAUCAAUAAACUGGAGCUAUAGAUAUUAACACAGAUAACACUCAAAAACGUAAUGUUGAAUGGCAAAGCAAGUUGCCAAAGGCACAGAGUUUCAUGAGGGAGAUGGGAGAGUCCAAGGCAAGAAUACUAACCCCCAUUUGCAUCCCACCUCUCCUCCUCUUUCGUGUGUGGGCACGCUGGCUCCGGUUCAGGUCCAUUUACUCCCUACCCCAUCCCUCACCAACAGCGGGUUCUUGGUCACGCUGGCCUGGGGGUACCCGCCUAGGUAGAUGGCCCACCCUCAGGAGGCUGGACCUUGGAGUCCCGUACGGGAUGAGCAAUCCCAGGCUCAUUGCUGUGGGGCUGAAAGUUCUGGGGUCCCCAGUACCCUGAGUGCGACCUCGAAGAGGCUCACAGGCCCCAAGUGUGCAUAUUCCCUUGAACUCCUUACCCCAUGGAAAGAAGCACAGAGAAGGGUCAGAAGGAGACCCCUCCUCUAAAGCUUGGGGACCAAGACUGGACUUGCUGGGUCUAAGAGUCAUACUAUAUAAAUUAACACUAUUUUUAUAUAAAGGAAAACAUCCAAAACGAGAUGUUUCUUAUUGGUAGAUAUGGAAGUUAUAAAAGAUUUUUUUAAUGGAAUAAAAACAUGUGUGUCUGAU